GCUGGCGGCAGGCCUAACACAUGCAAGUCGAGCGGAUGAGGGAAGCUUGCUUCCCGAUUUAGCGGCGGACGGGUGAGUAAUGCCUAGGAAUCUGCCUAUUAGUGGGGGAUAACGUUCCGAAAGGAACGCUAAUACCGCAUACGUCCUACGGGAGAAAGUGGGGGAUCUUCGGACCUCACGCUAAUAGAUGAGCCUAGGUCGGAUUAGCUAGUUGGUGGGGUAACGGCUCACCAAGGCGACGAUCCGUAGCUGGUCUGAGAGGAUGAUCAGCCACACUGGAACUGAGACACGGUCCAGACUCCUACGGGAGGCAGCAGUGGGGAAUAUUGGACAAUGGGCGAAAGCCUGAUCCAGCCAUGCCGCGUGUGUGAAGAAGGUCUUCGGAUUGUAAAGCACUUUAAGUUGGGAGGAAGGGUUGUAAGCUAAUAUCUUGCAGCUUUGACGUUACCAACAGAAUAAGCACCGGCUAACUCUGUGCCAGCAGCCGCGGUAAUACAGAGGGUGCAAGCGUUAAUCGGAAUUACUGGGCGUAAAGCGCGCGUAGGCGGCUUAGUAAGUUGGAUGUGAAAGCCCCGGGCUCAACCUGGGAACUGCAUCCAAAACUGCUUGGCUAGAGUACAGUAGAGGGUGGUGGAAUUUUCCUGUGUAGCGGUG
rnacentral:rRNA from 1 species